rnacentral:rRNA from 1 species
UGCCAGCAGCCGAGCUAAUACGAAGGGUGCUAGCGUUAAUCGGAAUUACUGGGCGUAAAGAGCGUGUAGGCGGACUGUUAAGUCUGAUGUGAAAGCCCGGGGCUCAACCCCGGAAGUGCAUUGGAUACUGGCAGUCUUGAGUAUGGGAGAGGAAAGUGGAAUUCCGAGUGUAGGAGUGAAAUCCGUAGAUAUUCGGAGGAACACCAGUGGCGAAGGCGGCUAACUGGACUGAUACUGACGCUGAGGUGCGAAAGUGUGGGGAGCGAACAGGAUUAGAUA